rnacentral:lncRNA from 1 species
AUUUGGUUUUUAAUUAUAUGACUGUUAAAGAGAGUUAUAAACAUGGAUGAAAAUUUGAUUUACUCUUUGGUGUAUGCUUGGUUAUGGUUUAAAUUUAUGAAUUCCCAUGCAAUCAUAAAAGAAAAAUCAGUUUUGUAACAUGCUUGAAGGAAGGAACUCAAAUGAAUGCUACAACCUUGUAAGACUUGAGUCUAAAACGUUUAUUUGGAGAGUUAAUAAUCUGUGCAUUCUUGUUUUCUAAAGUCGUUGCAUGAUCUCAUUAUUCUUUGCUUGGUUACUACUUAGAAGGCGUUUCAUCAUUUAGUUCCAAAUGCUAGAACUCAUGCCUAUUUCAUUCAAAGCAUGCUAUUGAUUUGCAUAACACAUAUUCAAGAUAAAGUUGUGUAGUGACCACCACCAAAGCCAAAUUGCCGUGUAUCCUACUUCAUUAUAUGUUUAAGUUUAAACCCAUUGAGCCUUGUGUAGCCUAUGUUCUUUGUUAACCCACACUGUCCUCACCUAGCCUAGAUUUGAACCAUCCAUACCUUUGUUCUUGAAGCAUAGUAAAGCAUGACUCAAAAUGAAUUCCUUUUUAUUAAAGUAUUGCAGAAAACAAAUGUGGGGGAAGUGAUUCUUGUUGUGUGUGUGUGCCAAAAUCUUUAAUAAGGCACGGGUAGGAAAGAAAAAGAAAAAGAAAAAUUCGUGGAAAAUAGAAUGAAAAGUUGUGGAAAAGAGCUUUAAAGUGUCGUUUGUUGAAGAAAGGGUCCAAAAACAUUGAAUUCGGCCCUAAAUGUUGCAUGAAUCUUCCUGUUGUAUUUAAAAGUUGAUUCUGCAUUCUAAAGUAAAUUCCAAGUGUCGAUUUCAUUGCUUUGCUUUCUAUUGCUUUAAGAACGUUUGUUACCCCUAUCCUUCCUUUGUUAGCCAUUACUCCCAAGCCCCAUUACAACCCUUGACUUCUAUCUUGAGUGUUAUGUGUUUCAAUUUGUGGAGUUUGAAUUUGGUAUGAGCAUAUGGUGUCACUGGUUCUCGCAUCUAAGUAGUAGCAUUCCAUUCAUGAGAUCAUAUUUAAACAUGCUUAUUAACUCCAGAAAUUGUUUUCUUUGUUGUAACAUAUGUGAGUACUAGUCUUUCAUGUUUACAUCAAUCUUCUCACAUAUAUCUAGUGUAGGGUGUGUAGCCAGAAAAUGUGUGUGAAAAUGAGAGUAUCUUGUAAGGAAUUGAGCAAAUUCUCUAAGGCAUGUUACUACAUUCAAAACAUUGUUUUAAUUGGUUAAUUGUGAACUAGUAAGUGGUCACUGUGAUUAAGAAUGUGCUCAAGUGUUAAGUUGACUAAAAUCUGUGGGAAUGGUGAUUUUUAACUUGUCAUGUGCGUUGGAAAUCCCUGAGGCAAACGUUGGAAGGUUUAGGUUGUGUUUUGUUUUCUUUAUUUUGCUUGAGGACUAGCAAAAGCUAAGUGUGGGGGUAUUUGAUAAGCUCAUAUUUAUAUAUAUUUUACAUAAAAUUCACUUGUCUUUUCUUAGUUAGUUCCUUAUAGUUUUGAGCUAUUUACUAUAAUUUUGUGUUUUGUGUGAUUUAUCAAGCAAAUAAAAGAAAAGUAGCACAAGUGAGAUAUUAAGUAACAAAUUCGUCAAAACUGCCUAUGCAGAUUAGUUGACUUUGGAAGCAUGUUACGAACAGCUUAGAAUGAAUGAGAGAUGAGCCUUAUAUGCUUGGAAAGCUAUGGAUGUCUAUUUUCUGGAGCAAUUUACAGAUUGUUAAUAUCCAUUUUCUAGAAGAAGUUAUGGGCAUUGUAACACUGAAAGGUUCAGAAAAGGGCUAAGCAGAUUUGGCUAAUAAAAUGAGAAAGUAAAGGCACUUGUUUUGUGUUUUGCUUUGUCAUCAACACUCAGCAACAAAUGGGGUUAUGAUUGCACUCAUUUGGCUUUGGAGCAAGUGGAAAUGCACAUCUAGAAAGAGAAGGCACAAACACAUGCAAAGGGAGGAGACAUCAAACAGCUCACACACAUGCAAACUGCAUGGACAGGUUGGAGGACAGAAAAUGUGUUUGUUUUGUGGCUGAAAUGAUGAGGAACAUGUGUAUGCAAAUGGGAAAAGGAAACACACACACAUGGGCAAAGGAAAGGCACAGCAUGGGCAUAAAAUACACCACUACAUUCACUCAUUACCACAACACUCACCCUUGUCCCCUUCAUUAUUUA